rnacentral:piRNA from 1 species
UGCAAUUCAUUGGCUCUAGUCUAUAGGA